AUUAGUAUUAGUUAUUUUCUUCAAAUUUAAAGAUUUUGGCGGUAUUUUAGUCUAUUCAGAGGAACCUGUUCUGUAAUUGAUAUUCCACGAUUUACUUUACUUGAUUAGUUUGUAUAUCGUCGUUAUUUUGAAUAUUUUAUAAGAAAAUUAAUGUUCAAUUUUUUUGAUAAGAACAUAAGUCAGAUCAAGGUGCAGCUUAUAUUCAAGAAGAAAUGGGUUACAAUAAAUUUAUUUAAAUGGUUUGGUAAAUGAAAUUUUAUCAAUAAAGUGGGAAAGUAAUAUUUGAAAUUAGAUAAAUAGGAUAAG
rnacentral:rRNA from 1 species